rnacentral:tRNA from 1 species
GCCUGCCUGGCUCAGUGGUAGAGCAUGUGACUCUUGAUUUCAGAGUCAUGAGUUUGAGCCCCAUGUUAGGUG